rnacentral:rRNA from 1 species
AUUGAACGCUGGCGGCAGGCUUAACACAUGCAAGUCGAACGGGUGGCGGACGGGUGAGUAAUGCUUGGGCAUCUGGCUUAUGGAGGGGUAUAACGACGGGAAACUGUCGCUAAUACCGCGUACCAUAGGAUGAGCCCAAGUGGGAUUAGGUAGUUGGUGGGGUAAUGGACCACCAAGCAGACGAUCUCUAGCUGGUUUGAGAGGAUGACCAGCCACACCGGGACUGAGACACGGCCCGGACUCCUACGGGAGGCAGCAGUGGGGAAUAUUGCGCAAUGGGGGCAACCUGACGCAGCCAUGCCGCGUGAAUGAAGAAGGCCUUCGGGUUGUAAAGUUCUUUUGGUGACGAGGCGGUAACUACAGAAGAAGCACCGGCUAACUCCGUGCCAGCAGCCGCGGUAAUAC